CAGCCGCCGCGGUAAUACGUAGGGUGCGAGCGUUAAUCGGAUUUACUGGGCGUAAAGCGUGCGCAGGCGGCCCGUUAAGACAGGUGUGAAAUCCCUGGGCUCAACCUAGGAAUUGCGCUUGUGACUGGCGGGCUCGAGUACGGUAGAGGGGGGUGGAAUUCCUGGUGUAGCAGUGAAAUGCGUAGAGAUCAGGAGGAACACCGAUGGCGAAGGCAGCCCCCUGGGCCUGUACUGACGCUCGUGCACGAAAGCGUGGGGAGCAAACAGGAUUAGAUACCCUGGUAGUCCACGCCCUAAACGAUGGGUACUAGCCGUUUGGUGCGCGAUAGCGCUGAGUGGCGAAGCUAACGCGAGAAGUACCCCGCCUGGGGAGUACGGCCGCAAGGUUGAAACUUAAAGGAAUUGGCGGG
rnacentral:rRNA from 1 species